ACACCAGUUGAUCCUGCUGGAGGAUACUGCUAUCGGAUUGCGCCUAAGCCAUGCAAGUUUUGUGACUCGGCAUGAGUCACGGCGGAUGGCUCAGUAACACGUAGUCAACCUACCUUAAGGACGGGGAUACCCUCGGGAAACUGAGGUGAAACCCCGAUAGGUCAGGAAAUCUGGAAUGAUUCCUGGUUUAAACAGCGCGCGAAACGCAGCGUUGCUGCCUUAAGAUGGGACUGCGGCCGAUCAGGCUGUUGGUGAGGUAACGGCUCACCAAACCUAUUAUCGGUAGGGGCUAUGGGAGUAGGAGCCCCGAGACGGGCACUGAGACAAGGGCCCGAGCCCUACGGGGUGCAGCAGGCGCGAAACUUCCGCAAUGCGCGAACUUCUUUUUCUUUCCGAAGAAAAAGACCUUCACUAGAAGCUUUCUUUUAGUCGAGGUUUUCUUUCACGAAAGAAAAAGUCGGCGUAAAAGCGUGACGGGGGUAGUCCGAGUGCCGUCCUAACGGACGGCUUUUAGCGAGCCUGAAUCGCUCGUUGAAUAAGUGGUGGGUAAAUCCUGUGCCAGCCGCCGCGGUAACACAGGUAGCACAAGUGGUAUCCACGAAUAUUGAGCUUAAAGCGCCCGUAGCCGGCUCGUCAAGUUUCCUGUGAAAUCUUCAGGCUUAACCUGAAGGCGUGCAGGAAAUACUAACGGGCUCGGGAGUGGGGGAGGCAUGGGGUACUGUAGGGGGAGGAGUAAAAUCCUGUAAUCCUUGCAGGACCGCCAGUGGCGAAGGCGCCAUGCCAAAACACGUCCGACGGUGAGGGACGAAGGCUAGGGGAGCAAAUCGGAUUAGAUUUGCCUGGGGAGUAACGCAAGGCUAAUAAACUUCUAUCGGGAAAGCGUACUAUGAGAUUAGAACGGCGGGUAGACUCGUUUUUGCAAAAACACUACAACGAGUUCACAUGCCUGCCUUCUAGGGAGUACGUCACAAAGAAAGGUAAACAACGAUUCCGCUUGCCAAAGCGCUUCACAAAGGAACUCGCGAGGCUGCUGGGGCUCUUGCACGGCGACGGGAACAUGUCCGGAAACCGGAUUUUGUUCACGGACAAGUGCAAGCCGUUCCACGCCAAGAUUCGCGCGCUGUUCAGAAAGGAGUUCGGCUUAACGCUGAACCUCUUCGAAGACAGAUUGCGAAAUUCUUGCUAUAGUCAUACCAAAAACAAGGUGAUUUACGAGUUCUUCGUCGAGGUGCUCGAAGCUCCGCGGGGUGCCGUGCGGGCAAACCUGCGAAUCCCAAAGUUCAUUUGGGAUUGGAGCGACGAGCUCAAGUCUGCCUACGUAGGCGGGCUGUUCGACGCCGAGGGAAGCGUGAGCAAAAGACAGGCGGAAAUCGGGUUUUAUUCAACCUCCGAAGAACUCUUUGACUUCGUGAAGGCAUUCCUUCAACGAAGCGGCAUUUCCUUCAGCGUUUACCGCCGAAGGAGGCACAAAAACGAAGAGUUCGAAAUCCACGUUUACGGCAAAGAUGAUUUGAAACGCUUUGCAAGAGAAGUCGAUUUUUUUCAUCCCGAAAAGAAGAAGAGAUUAGCCUUGUUCCUCAGGCACUAAAAACCCGAGUAGUCCUAGCAGUAAAUGAUGCAGACUUGGCGUCGCAUCCGCUUCGUGCGGAUGCGGUGCCGUAGGGAAACCGUUAAGUCUGCCGCUUGGGGAGUACGGUCGCAAGACUGAAACUUAAAGGAAUUGGCGGGGGAGCACCACAAGGGGUGGAUGCUGCGGUUCAAUUGGACUCAACGCCGGGAAGCUCACCAGGAAAGACGGCAGAAUGAAGCUCAGACUAAAGAUCUUAGCCGACAAGCCGAGAAGUGUUGCAUG
rnacentral:rRNA from 1 species